rnacentral:tRNA from 1 species
AAGGGAGACCUAAUUCGGGUAUAAGACGAAAAAAGAGUAGUCGAAACCAAGAAUCAAUCCCAAAAGGUCGGAACGAGGUAUGUGGCUUUCAAACUAGGUUCUGGGUUCACACAAGACCUGAGUCAGGAACAAGGGCUAUUAGCUCAGGUGGUUAGAGCGCACCCCUGAUAAGGGUGAGGUCCCUGGUUCGAGUCCAGGAUGGCCCACCUGCACAGGUGGCAAAAACAAAGAAGCGAGGAAUCAGCACCUUAUCUUAUCUAUAUAUAAGAGAGAAUGCUGGCUCUGAGUAAAGAGUCCAGAGGAACCUUGAAAACUGCAUAGAGCUAGGUGAAAAAGCCAAAAAAGAAGACCGCAA